ACUUCUAGCUUUAAAUGACUGGUUAGUUUCUUGGUGUACUGAACAGAAUCUGGUGUUUGUUAAUAACUGGAAUCUGUUCUGUGAGCAUCCUAGGUUGUUUCAUCCUGAUGGCCUGCACCCCAGCAACCUCGGAGCAGAACUGCUGUCUAGCAACAUUUCCAAGGCGCUACACACCAAGUGACUGCCUACUAGAUCCUGAUCCUUUCUGCUCUCCGGACCUGCCUGAUCCGUUUCGGAUGUCCUACCUCUGGAUGGAGCUCUCAUCUAUUCCAAUUCCAGACUGCUGGGACUACGGCUGCUUCUAAGGCCAAACAGACUUCAUAUAAAUCCAUAAUGAACUUUUUCACACUAUCUGUUGUUACCCAGAUGAGGAUGGGUUCCCUUCUGAGUCGGGUUCCUCUCAAGGUUUCUUCCUCUUAAAACAUCUUAGGGAGUUUUUCCUUGCCACUGUCGCCACACAGUGGCUUGCUCAGUUGGGAUAAAUUCGCACUUUUAAUAUCUGUAUACCGUGUUGAUAUUUCUGUAAAGCUGACAAUGUCUAUUGUAAAAAGCGCUAUGCAAAUAAAAUUGAAUUGAAUUGAAUGUUGUAUCAAUGAAACCUUCAAAUAAAGUCAUGUGUGUGAACGCA